rnacentral:rRNA from 1 species
UGUAUUAUUAAUGGCCGCAGUAUUUUGACUGUGCUAAGGUAGCAUAAUCAUUAGUUUUUUAAUUGAAAGCUGGAAUGAAAGGUUGAAUAAGAAAAUAUCUUUAUUUAAUUAAAUUAAUUAAAAUUUUAUUUUUAAGUUAAAAAGCUUAAAUUUUUAUUAAAGACGAGAAGACCCUAUAGAGUUUUAUAUUUAAUUUUUUUAUUUUAAUUUAGAAUUAUGGUUGAUUAAAAUAUUAUAUAUUUAAUUGGGGUGAUUAAAAAAUUUAUUUAACUUUUUUUUAUUAAUAAUAUUAUUUUGUAAAUUAAUGAUCCUAAUUUUUAGAUUAUAAGAUUAAAUUACCUUAGGGAUAACAGCGUAAUUUUAUUAGAGAGUUCAUAUUGAAAAUAAAGAUUGCGACCUCGAUGUUGGAUUAAAAUUUAUAUUUGGUGUAGAAGCUAAAUA